UACGUAGGGGGCAAGCGUUGUCCGGAAUCAUUGGGCGUAAAGAGCGUGUAGGCGGCCAGGUAGGUCUGGUGUGAAAACUCGAGGCUUAACCUCGAGAUGUCAUUGGAAACCAUCUGGCUAGAGUCCGGAAGAGGAGAGUGGAAUUCCUGGUGUAGCGGUGAAAUGCGCAGAUAUCAGGAAGAACACCAAUGGCGAAAGCAGCUCUCUGGGACGGUACUGACGCUGAGACGCGAAAGCGUGGGGAGCGAACAGG
rnacentral:rRNA from 1 species